rnacentral:misc_RNA from 1 species
UGGGUUUGACAUACGCCGGAAACAUCCAGAGAUGGGUGCCCUUUUUGUCGGUGUACAGGUGGUGCAUGGCUGUCGUCAGCUCGUGUCGUGAGAUGUUGGGUUAAGUCCCGCAACGAGCGCAACCCUCGUCCUAUGUUGCCAGCGAGCCUUCGGGUGUCGGGGACUCAUAGGAGACUGCCGGGGUCAACUCGGAGGAAGGUGGGGAUGACGUCGUCAGUCAA